UUUGCACCAAAAACAAAGCCAGACAGGUUGUGUUUGAGAAUUUCAUAGGCUCGCUUGAGGGAACACUUGGGCCAGUUUCGGCACAUUUAUGAAAACACAGUCCGCCAAAAUAGGGAGCUUGCAGCAUCUGCCUCUGUUUAAGAAACUAAAGGAAAAACCUAGGUGGCAGAAAUGAAGUAGGUGGAGGAGAAAAAUGCCAAUUGGAGGCUAACGAGAAA
rnacentral:lncRNA from 1 species